rnacentral:rRNA from 1 species
GACGAACGCUGGCGGCGUGCUUAACACAUGCAAGUCGAACGGAAAGGCCCUGCUUUUGUGGGGUGCUCGAGUGGCGAACGGGUGAGUAACACGUGAGUAACCUGCCCUUGACUUUGGGAUAACUUCAGGAAACUGGGGCUAAUACCGGAUAGGAGCUCCUGCUGCAUGGUGGGGGUUGGAAAGUUUCGGCGGUUGGGGAUGGACUCGCGGCUUAUCAGCUUGUUGGUGGGGUAGUGGCUUACCAAGGCUUUGACGGGUAGCCGGCCUGAGAGGGUGACCGGCCACAUUGGGACUGAGAUACGGCCCAGACUCGUACGGGAGGCAGCAGUGGGGAAUAUUGCACAAUGGGCGGAAGCCUGAUGCAGCAACGCCGCGUGCGGGAUGACGGCCUUCGGGUUGUAAACCGCUUUCGCCUGUGACGAAGCGUGAGUGACGGUAAUGGGUAAAGAAGCACCGGCUAACUGCGUG